rnacentral:rRNA from 1 species
CCUACGGUGGGCAGCAGUGAGGAAUAUUGGUCAAUGGACGCAAGUCUGAACCAGCCAUGCCGCGUGCAGGAAGACGGCUCUAUGAGUUGUAAACUGCUUUUGUACGAGGGUAAACGCAGAUACGCGUAUCUGUCUGAAAGUAUCGUACGAAUAAGGAUCGGCUAACUCCGUGCCAGCAGCCGCGGUAAUACGGAGGAUGCAAGCGUUAUCCGGAUUUAUUGGGUUUAAAGGGUGCGUAGGCGGUCGGAUAAGUUAGAGGUGAAAUCCCGAGGCUCAACUUCGGAAUUGCCUCUGAUACUGUUCGGCUAGAGAGUAGUUGCGGUAGGCGGAAUGUAUGGUGUAGCGGUGAAAUGCUUAGAGAUCAUACAGAACACCGAUUGCGAAGGCAGCUUACCAAGCUACUUCUGACGUUGAGGCACGAAAGCGUGGGGAGCGAAAGGGAUUAGAUACCCGUGUAGUC